rnacentral:rRNA from 1 species
AGAGUUUGAUCCUGGCUCAGGACGAACGCUGGCGGCGUGCCUAAUACAUGCAAGUCGAGCGGACAGAUGGGAGCUUGCUCCCUGAUGUUAGCGGCGGACGGGUGAGUAACACGUGGGUAACCUGCCUGUAAGACUGGGAUAACUCCGGGAAACCGGGGCUAAUACCGGAUGGUUGUCUGAACCGCAUGGUUCAGACAUAAAAGGUGGCUUCGGCUACCACUUACAGAUGGACCCGCGGCGCAUUAGCUAGUUGGUGAGGUAACGGCUCACCAAGGCGACGAUGCGUAGCCGACCUGAGAGGGUGAUCGGCCACACUGGGACUGAGACACGGCCCAGACUCCUACGGGAGGCAGCAGUAGGGAAUCUUCCGCAAUGGACGAAAGUCUGACGGAGCAACGCCGCGUGAGUGAUGAAGGUUUUCGGAUCGUAAAGCUCUGUUGUUAGGGAAGAACAAGUGCCGUUCAAAUAGGGCGGCACCUUGACGGUACCUAACCAGAAAGCCACGGCUAACUACGUGCCAGCAGCCGCGGUAAUACGUAGGUGGCAAGCGUUGUCCGGAAUUAUUGGGCGUAAAGGGCUCGCAGGCGGUUUCUUAAGUCUGAUGUGAAAGCCCCCGGCUCAACCGGGGAGGGUCAUUGGAAACUGGGGAACUUGAGUGCAGAAGAGGAGAGUGGAAUUCCACGUGUAGCGGUGAAAUGCGUAGAGAUGUGGAGGAACACCAGUGGCGAAGGCGACUCUCUGGUCUGUAACUGACGCUGAGGAGCGAAAGCGUGGGGAGCGAACAGGAUUAGAUACCCUGGUAGUCCACGCCGUAAGCGAUGAGUGCUAAGUGUUAGGGGGUUUCCGCCCCUUAGUGCUGCAGCUAACGCAUUAAGCACUCCGCCUGGGGAGUACGGUCGCAAGACUGAAACUCAAAGGAAUGACGG